rnacentral:lncRNA from 1 species
CAACACUCUGCUUUGAUGCUUUGCUCUAAGAAAUCCUUGGUCCACAGCUAGAAGAUAUCAGUUCCCCUGAAGGCUUCUAGAAACCUGCUCAGAUUUACCAACGAGGAAAGCAGGAGCAAUUAGAAAGACGAGCUCUGAAACAUGGACAGGCUCCACACGAACAGUCCCUUUUGUGGGAAUACCAACUUUCAUUGCCUUGGGAGAAGGUGACUUUAUCAAG